AUACGGAGGAUGCAAGCGUUAUCCGGAUUCAUUGGGUUUAAAGGGUGCGCAGGCGGGUUUGUAAGUCAGUGGUGAAAUACUGCCGCUCAACGGUAGGGUUGCCAUUGAUACUGCAAAUCUUGAGUUUGGAUGAGGUAGGCGGAAUGUGCAGUGUAGCGGUGAAAUGCAUAGAGAUUGCACAGAACACCGAUUGCGAAGGCAGCUUACUAAUCCACGACUGACGCUGAGGCACGAAAGCGUGGGGAGCGAACAGGAUUAGAUACCCUGGUAGUCCACGCCGUAAACGAUGUUCACUCGCUGUUUGCGAUAUACCGUAAGCGGCUUAGCGAAAGCAUUAAGUGAACCACCUGGGGAGUACGAUCGCAAGGUUGAA
rnacentral:rRNA from 1 species